GUGCCCUUGGGGACAUCAUCCGGUAAAAUUGAAACGAUAUAGAGAAGAUUAGUGUGGCCCCUGCGUAAGGAUGGCACACAUAAAUCGAAAAGAAAGCGGGCGAGCU
rfam:Hordeum vulgare subsp. vulgare, WGS project CAJW01000000 data, contig: morex_contig_65572